CAAUUUUAUUCAGAUUUAAUACAAUCAGUAAGUAAUAAUGUUCAAUAUAAAUUAAUAUAUUAAUAAAUAAACUAGACAUUAUUGGUAUAAGAAAUCUAAUUUUUUUAUGGUUCAACUCAUACCUGUCUGACCAAAAAAUCUCACAUAAUAUUAAUGUAACUUCUGAAGUGUCGCAAGACGGUCAUCUUUUGCUCCUGGUAUUUUUUUAUUUUUAUCAAUGAUUUAAAUAAUAUACUUCAAUUUUGUAAAUCCGCUUUAUUUGCAGAUGAUUUAAAACUAUACCAAUUUUUUCAAUAAAUGAUUAUAAUAAGCUACAACAUGAAAUCAAUCAGUUCUGCUUAUGGUAUACAAACAACAGUCUAAACUUAAAUACAGAUAAAUGUAUUUAAAUCACAUUAACUAGAAAUAGGCGGAAUUUUAUAUUCAAUUAUCAUAUAAUUAACAAAAAAAAUACAGUACCGCAUCUAAGGUUAAAGACUUCGGUCUUUAACCUAUUUUUUCUAGUGAUUUUAAAUUUACCGAAUAUAUUAAUGAAAUCCAUAAUAAAUCUAUUUAAUCAACUCAACUGCUGGGAGUCUUUUGAUCUAAAUCGCUUGCAUGUUUUUUUAUUUAUCGCUACGAUUUCUUAAGAUCAGUUCUGGAGCAUGGUUCCCUAAUCUGGUGCCCCCAUAGAAUAUCAAGAAUAUCUUAGACAAAAAAUUAGGAAUCCAAAAUCGAUUUUUACGUAUGCUAACAUAAAAAACAAACAAUGAUGUUGAACUAACUUUGCAAUGUCAUCUUGCUUUAAAAUUUAAUGUAGAAAAUCUGAAAUUUAGAAGGUCCUGGAAUACUUGCUUUAAUUAAUAUAAAUGUUCCAAACAUAAUUUUAAAAUCCAUGAUUUACUUACUUACCUACUUAUAAACCUAAUUAUCACCUAUUAACACCAGUUAAUUGAAUUUCAACUCUAGGUAAUAAACUUAAUAAUUUUUAUUUUUUUUUUUUUUUUUUUUUUUUUUUUGGAAAUGAAACACUGUUUGAAAAUAUUUGAAUUCUUUAGUUCUAAGUUGUAUUAUUUAUCUUGAAUACUUUACUGUUUACUUUAUAGUGCUAAAUAUUGUCUUGACUUUUUUUUGUUACUCCUUGUUGUGUAUCUCUCUAGUGUUUACUGA